rnacentral:lncRNA from 1 species
GCGCUGCUGAGACCCGCGUGUGCGGAGGGAAGUGGGGAACUGCCCCUUUUCCAAGGGCCUGAACACAGCUUUUGACUACUGACUGUCCUGUUCUGCCUUCCUCUUCGCGUGGGCCACCGCCCCACAGCGCCGCUGGGUUCCCUUCGCGGCCGCAUGGUACGCGUCCCGGGAGCGAAGCUUCCCCUGGGGGGAGCGCGCUAACCUGAGCUCCUUCGGUGCACCGCCCUGCCGACUGUCUGGAAGUCAGCAAUGGGAUAUUCCCACCACAACUUUACCGGGAUCUCUGGGUUGACUCUCUGGGUUGAGGAUCGGGGAGCUGGGUCGGGAGGCUGGCUUGUGGCUGUGGUUGAGGGGCCCGGACGCCUCGAAAGCAGGAGGGUGCCCAGGCGAAGUGCAGGCUGCACCAUGCAAUCUUCCGGGCGCAGAGGCGACCCAACCCGACCUGAGGGAGAUCCACGGGCUCUGGGCCGAGGGGAGACGCAGUGGAAUGAACUGAACUGCUGGUCCACAAGAACAGUUUUUCUAUCAAAGGAUACCAUCAAAUUCUGGCGAAGUUCUACAAAUCAUAAUCUAUUUCCCUUUUUCCAGAAAGGCAACUUGAUUCGGGGGGAUAUGGCAGCUUCCACUCUGAGGUGCCCUUACUUCAAAUCAGGCCCAGCCCAAGGAAUUCUAGUAGCAUGUAUCCAACUGUUUCAAACCUCCACCUGCUACAUGGGCGUGGCUUCUGAGAUCGACAUGCUUCCAACAGCUUAUACAGAGUGA